rnacentral:rRNA from 1 species
CCUACGGGAGGCAGCAGUAGGGAAUAUUGCACAAUGGAGGGAACUCUGAUGCAGCGACGCCGCGUGAGUGAAGAAGGAAUUCGGUAUGUAAAGCUCUAUUAGCAGGGAAGAAAGUGACGGUAUCUAAAAAAGAAGCACCGGCUAAAUACGUGCCAGCAGCCGCGGUAAUACGGAGGGUGCAAGCGUUACUCGGAUUUACUGGGUGUAAAGAGAGAGGAGGUGGCAGAGCAAGUCCGAAGUGAAAACCCAAUGCUGAACUAUAGGACUGAAUUAGAAACUGCUCAUCUAGAGUACGGGAGAGGCAAGUGGAAUUCUUGGUGUAGCGGUAAAAUGCGUAGAGAUUAAGAGGAAUACCCAUGGCGAAGGCGACUUGCUAGACUGUAACUGACGCUGAUGCUCGAAAGCGUGGGGAGCAAACAGGAUUAGAUACCCUAGUAGUC